rnacentral:rRNA from 1 species
AACGAACGCUGGCGGCAUGGCUAAGACAUGCAAGUCGCACGGAACGCAGUAGCAAUAUUGCGUUUAGUGGCGGAAGGGUGAGUAAUGAAUGGGUAACGUACCUUGAACACGGGAAUAACAGCGGCCGCAAGGCCCUUUGCGAAAGUGCUGCUAAUACCCGAUGAAGUGGCUGGCUCGCCUGAGCCGGUCACCAAAGCCGGGGACCGAAGGCCUGGUGGUUGGAGCGGCCCAUUUCCUAUCAGCUAGUUGGUGAGGUAACGGCCCACCAAGGCGACGACGGGUAGCGGACUGAGAGGUCGGCCGCCACAUCGGGACUGAGACACUGCCCGGACACCUACGGGUGGCUGCAGUAACGAAUAUUGGGCAAUGGGCGCAAGCCUGACCCAGCAAU